GAUGAAGAACGCAGCGAAAUGCGAUAAGUAAUGUGAAUUGCAGAAUUCAGUGAAUCAUCGAAUCUUUGAACGCACAUUGCGCCCGCUAGUAUUCUGGCGGGCAUGCCUGUCCGAGCGUCAUUUCAACCCUCAAGCCCCCGGGCUUGGUGUUGGGGAUCGGCGAGCCUCCGCGCCCGCCGUCCCCUAAAUCUAGUGGCGGUCUCGCUGUAGCUUCCUCUGCGUAGUAGCACACCUCGCACUGGGAAACAGCGCGGCCACGCCGUUAAACCCCCAACUUCUGAAAGUUGACCUCGGAUCAGGUAGGAAUACCCGCUGAACUUAAGCAUAUCAAUAAGCGGAGGA
rnacentral:misc_RNA from 1 species